rnacentral:tRNA from 1 species
CGGAGCAUGGCGCAGCUGGUAGCGCACCUGGUUCGGGACCAGGUGGCCGUUGGUUCGAAUCCAACUGCUCCGACCA